CAGUCGAACGAUGAAGCCCUUCGGACUGUCAGUGGCAGACGGCUGAGUAACGCGUGGGUGACGUACCUAUCGGUGGGGAAUAACUGCCCGAAAGGGUGGCUAAUACCGCAUACGUCCAUUGCAGUAGUGUGAUGGGGAAAACCGCAAGGUGCCGAUGGAGCGGCCCGCGUUCGAUUAGCUAGUUGGUGGGGUAACGGCCUACCAAGGCGACGAUCGAUAGCUGGUCUCAGAGGAUGAUCAGCCAGACUGGGACUGAGACACGGCCCGGACUCCUACGGGAGGCAGCAGUUAGGAAUUUUGGGCAAUGGGCGCAAGCCUGACCCAGCAACGCCGCGUGGGUGACGACGGCCUUCGGGUUGUAAAGCCCUUUUCUGGGGGAAGAUGAUGACGGUACCCCAGGAAGAAGCACCGGCUAACUACGUGCCAGCAGCCGCG
rnacentral:rRNA from 1 species